rnacentral:lncRNA from 1 species
UUUGUAGGCAUCUUUUUUUUUUAAUUGUUUUAGUUUAAAACAAGUCAUCUUGGUAAAAGGGUAAAGGAAAUUACAUUUUGACGAUAGCUUGAAAUAGGUACGGUGUUCCUGAUUUAGUCAUUUUUUUCAGGAAACAGACGACUGCAUUGUUUUCGUACAUGACUUUUGGAACUGCUUGGUUAAAUGCACAUAAUUAUAUUAAAUUAAAUUUUUCCUUACAAAAACACAACCAUGUCAUUUAAGGCAAAAAAAAAAUCGGGUUCUGGGGAAUUAGCGUUUAUGAUAUUUCCUUGAUCUGACUGGAUGCUCUGCUUGCCUGGGUUUCGUCAUUCUUUAUAGUUUUGCUCUGGAAAUGGGUAGGAUAUUUAGCUAGUUUGUGCCUCAACUCCUUUGUUAGGCUUGUUUGAUUUUCAUAUUAGGAACCUUCCAGGAGACAAAGCAAAACAGAACAAAGCCAAAAGGCUGAGCCAAUGGCACGUCAGAAAGGCACCGUUAAGUUCCUAGAAAACCCAAUAAAGCUCUUAAAUUAAAUGAACUUGCCAUCUACGGAUAUUGAUUUGGUUCAACAAAAUGCAAACAUUUAGAUUAGACAUGGCAAAAAAUGUUGCGGAUAACCUUCCGCGUGGGACGAUUGUUGUUAUCAAUGAGUCCCACCAACCCUGUGCAGUGGCCGGAGGCAGACGGACUUGAGCCGAGAAAGCACAGGGAUACUCAGUGAGCUCAGCUAAACUGUGCUCCCCCCACCCCCUACUCUUUGGGGUGGAGCAAUGGGCCUCUGCUAAGUGCAAAUAGGAGACUCCCCCUCUAUUCCCCCAUAGCAUAGACAGACCCCUAAAAUGAACAUACCCAAAACCUACCAACAUCCAGGAGUUUUUGUGCUAGAAUAAAACAGACACAAAGUGGUCAUGGCUUCAAUAUCCAGACAUUAUUCUCAAUGUCGUUUUUCACAUUUUUCUAUGCUUAAGACUGUAGGGGACACGUUUAGGCUUUCUCUCUGAGUCUUCAGACUUUAGCUAUGUUAGAUGAACUGUACUGUGCUUGAGGCCCGAGGAUGCCUAAGAAGGGAUUCCCUGAUACAUUCACAAUCCUUGCUGCCAGUGGGGUUCUACCUGAGACAGUGCUGUCUGGAAGCUGUCAGCUCCCUCCUCUUCCUCAGUCAGUAUUUGGAGUGAGCCUUGUUCAGUGCCGGGCAGGUAUCUCUGGUUUUUGUUCAGUGGGGAGGGGUGUGCUGCGUGUAUACACA